UUCCAGUAUUGGAUUGCAAAGAUGGCCUUUGCUGCAUCUCCUUGAGCAAGGAAAGCCAAGAAACCUUUGCUUUUGAAGGAGAAAACCUGGAAAGCAGGAAGGAAGAAAAGAAGCCCCCUGACUUCUCCCUUAGCCCCAGACAGCCCAUGAACUGCCUUGCUGGCAAUGGUAGGACCGGGUGGACUCUGGAUUGCUCCCUCUGGAUGUGUGGCUCUCCCCUCAGGAACUCCAGGAACUCCUGGUGCCGCCUGGGCCGAUGGAUUGGACGCCCCAGCCCCUCUGUUCCUGCCCAGCCACUGGGUCCGUGUCCAGUGGUGGGACUGCCAGCCCUGCAGUGGGAUGUAGACUGGAAACUGCACAGAGCUGAGCCAAGGGAUUGAAAGGGACCAACCAAGGGAGGUGAAGAAAGAACGAAGAAGGGAACUGAGGCAGCAGGCAAGCAGCAGCAAGUUGCUGUGUAAGCAGGUGAAAAUGAGGCACAGAAGGACUUAAUGAGUACCAAUGAACUGAUCUGGAGGGCUGUAUUCACAUCCUGGAUUGCAAAAAUUAACUGGAUUUUGUCUCCUGAAUUUCUGCAGUGCACCUACUGAUAUCAUGCUGGAAAAAUAACACACUUCAAUGUAAGUAAACCAGGGAUUUUUGUAUGUAAGUGCAAAUUAUUGCCCUACAACUUUGAAAUAAGACUUGACUUGAUCACCAAAUGCAAACAGUAAUUAUAG